rnacentral:lncRNA from 1 species
UCCAACAUUCUGUGAGUUGGUAUACAUCGACUUAGUAAAAUUAUUUGUUAUUUCACCAUUGAUUCGGUAUAAGAUAACUACCUUAAAUUAGGCAAUUCCUACAUAACAAUUGAUGUAUUACAAUUCACCACAUAAUAAUUAAUGCAGUUUUAUUCGCGGUCAUCUGUAACUGCAUUAUCAUUAAUAGUGUAAUCUCCACUUAGGUAGACCAUAAACAACCCCUAAUAGUGUAAUCUCCACUUAGGUAGACCAUAAACAACCCCUAAUAGUGUAAUCUCAAUUAAUUUGCAGGACUUGGUAGACUCAUAAUUGCUCGUUUGGUAUGAGGGAUAAGAAAUAAUUAAUCCCAGAAUUAAAUUUAAGAAGAAUUUAUCUCAUGUUUGAUUGAGAGAAAAUUGCGGUAUUAGCAUCCCAGGAUUGUAGUAUUUUUUUAUCCCCGUAGAAAGAUGGAAUAACUAAUUCCGGAAUCUAACUCUACCUUUUUUAGUAGUAUAAAUUAUCAUGGGAACACCAUGACCAAAGAAAACUGGAAAGUACAUUUUGUUCAAGUCCCCAACAGGGUUCUUUGAUUAAAUAAAAAGAAAUAUUCAUUGUUCCGACUGUCCAAAAUAUCUGCCAGAUAUUGUGACCAACAUAUUAAGCAUAAUAACUUCAUCAUCGAGUUUGGACUUGUCUAAAUGUGCAUUGGUUCAAUUCGCUCUAAACAGAGUUAGUGACAAAUUCAGUACAUCUUUUUACAUGCUAAGGGCUAAGGGCUACUUUGCCUCAAUAGGAUUAGUAAGGUAAGGUUUAGCCCGGUUAAUGUUGCCUUGGUCCUAUGCCUUUGGAAAAUAUCCACACGGCUAUGAGAUUAUACGCCCUCGUGAGACUUUGCCAGCAGCUACCCCAUGAAUCCUUUACAUGAGGCUGCCAUCAUAAGGCAUUGUGAGGCGCAGAAGAGUGAUUAUAUAGCCAAGACAUAUGGGUAACAAUACAGGUGCUAUUGUACCCCUUAUU